GGGGGCGGCGCGGGCAGGGCCGGUGCUGGCCGCCGGCUGGUCGCCCAGGCCGCUGCCCGGGCCGCGCAGCGGGUACCUGAUGUCUGUGCGACGCUUUGCUGGGGAGCGCCAAGUUAGAGAGCUCUUCUCUGCCCUGGCCUGUUGCUGGUCCUCCCACAACUUAAUGAGAUGAGAAACAAGGUUUGCCUAUUGAACUUGGGCUCAAACUGACUGAGGGAAAUAGGAGCUGAAAUGAGCAGCGUUGCACACAGACCAGGAACAUGCAGGCAUGGAACGAGUUGCAAAUUGGCCUCUAUGGAUGCAGGAUGCAAACAGGUUGCUGACCGUUUCUUCAAACUGGAGCCAGAACAUGAUCACUUCUGUGGAACAUAAGGAAUAGGAGAGAGAGGAUUCAGACCGUCUAGUCAGUGUUUGACCUCAGGAUGCGUGGAUCCUCAUUUCAUUCAUGCUAGUAAUC
rnacentral:lncRNA from 1 species